AAUAAAUAUUGUGUAACGAUUUCUUUCAAAGGGGGCAGGUUUGGGGUUGUAGCCAUGCUGCCAUGAACAUGGAUAGCUUUAGUCAGCCUGGACAGUGGGUUAAUCAUGCUUGCUUCUGUCUGCAGUGAAAUGAGCUGUUUUGAAGAAUCAUAAGCCAGCACAUUCACUGGUGGGAAGCAGAAAGAGAGGGCAUUGAGGAGUCAUUUCACAAGGGCCAGUAGCUGCUGCUUGCUGAUCAACGCAGUGGAGAAAUGUUUGCCUAUUGGUGCCAUUGACCAGAUAGAAGGACAGCUAUUUCUGCUGACUUGCCCGAGUGGGUGCUGGCUCUUCCCUCUGCACAGAGCAGUAGAGGCAUUAGUGAGGUUAUUUUUCAGCUGGAUGGAGUUCUCUACCCUACCUGACCACAUGGACAGAAACACAGCAGCAGGGACACAAUGAUUCACAGCCAGGAACAAACCAUUGGAAAGGAUGGCUGGAUGGGACAGUGACUGGCCACAGAAGAUCUGCUGCCAGAUGCCAAAUCACAGCUUCGGUCCAGACAGUAUCAUGGAAACACUCUGUCUUUUGAUUUAACAUGCAAAAACCUGCAAGGUAGAAAUUAUGCCAAUUCACCAACUGGAUUUCUGGAAAGGAGACCCUAUUGUACUUUAAAGAGCUUUGAUCAUACAGUCAAAGGAACAUAUACACAUAGCUUUGGCUCUCCUGUAUCUUUUUUCAGAAAAGAAUCAAUAUGAUUGCUGCAGAUUUUCAAAGAAAAAUGAUAACCCCAUAGCAACUGGUUGCUUGUAAAAAUGUUUUAUGGUGGUUCUUGCCUUGCUUGACUAUGAUGAAAAAGAAAGAGAUGGUUCUUGCCUUGCCUGACUAUUACAAGCAAGGACAAGAUGUAUCCACCACACUCUGUUAAUUGGGAAAUUCUCCGGAGCUGCAGGCAGCCAGUUGGUCUGCCCCCCCGACCUGUGCUGCAGGGAGCAUCCCCUCAUCCCAAAGCUGCAUUAUGGCUGCUGGGCAGAGGUCAGGCCAGAGGGCUGGGAGGAAACCCAGCAUCUCCUUAUUCCUAGGCCAGGCCAGAACUCAUGAACUGGGAAUGUCUAAAACAAAAACUAAAUAUGAAAUGGAAGUAAACCAUAAAAAUGGCUCUUUCUCACUUUGUGCAGGACUGCAGAGGAGUUUAAAGGGGUCAUUCACAGAUGGCAUAAUCACGACAAAUGUUGGCAAAAUAAACCAAAAUUGCAGCUUUAAUAUCAGAGAUAUAAUCAAGAUUUGGCCUACUUGUUGCACAUUUCCUUUUAUAGGCAGAAGUUAUGGGUUUAUGUACUGGAACUCUCUUUAUAACAGCUUAUCAAAAGUGCUUCACAUGAACAUAUGUUUUCCCAUGGUUGUGUUUUCUGAGCAUGCUGAACGAUUUAGUAAUAUCAGCUAAUGAUGCAAAAUGGGUUUCAAUAGCAAUUUUAGUGGCUAAAUGAAUCAUACUUAGAUAAGGGAAAUAUGAAACAUUCCAUUUUAUGCAAAAUUGCAAAUGACCUAUCCAACACAUCUCUGAGGAGAAGUUAACACAGGGCGGUACAUGGAACUGGAAAAAUACAGCAAUGUUUUCUACUUUACAAAUGAAUGGGAUUUUAAAGAGAACUUUAACAUACAAUACCAACUAUUUUCUUUACGCUUGUUAUCUUUAAAAAACUUCAUGUAAGUCUUUGGAGAUGAAUUAUUUUCUCCCUUUUUUCAGUAAUCUGAUGAAAUACUGGUUUAUUGUCAUUUGUUUUCUUUUUCUGUGUCUUUUUUUCUUUCUUAUUUCUCAUUAGAUAUUAAUAAACAGAGCAAAACAGAAAAAUACAAGUGAUUUGACUAGGCAAAGAAAUGUUGUAGUGCAUAUUUUACCCUACUUUAUUUUAUACACCUAUCAAGUGGGGUGAUUUCCUCCAAACAGAGUUUUUUAAAUCUCCUUAGAAAAUAGGGGAAGAUUUCUUACACAGUUUUGCACAUGCCAAAGUUGAUUAACAGAUACAUUCAUAUUUGUGCAACGAAAAUCAAAUCACCAUAAAACCUGCAGAAAAGAAAGAUGGAAUUAGCUGAGUUCCAUGCUAUGAUAUGUAUAAGAAAAUUAUUUGGACUAUCCAUCUGCUCUGUAUUUUUCCUAGGUCCCUAUCUAAAAAAGGUGAUCUAUUUGCUUCUUUGGGAAAAUAAGAAAAAAGGAAGGGACAGUAAACCAAUGAAAAAUCUUGUUGACAUAAUACAAGGCAAGCUGUCUAGAAUAGUAAUUGUUACUCCUGGGACACUAAUCACUAAAGAUGUUCAUGGUAUGUGAAUUUCAUCCAGUCUUCCAGUACCGGUAGACUGUAUUUCCAAAAAUGGUGCCUGAAAAAGUGCUUUAUUAAGGAAGCAUAUACUAUUUACUGCAGCACUGGGUAGCAUUUCAUAUUGCAAAACACUUCUUAACUUUUAAAUAAAUUUUAUCCCUGGUGACAAGUUAAUAGAUAUCACACUAGGCUAUUUGCUAUGAAUUGAUUUAUGUUGGUAGUAGACAGAAACGGUAGCCUUCUUAUUCUGAGAGAAAAUUGGAGUGGGAUGUGGAGGAGGAAGUAGAGGAAAAAUGAAUUUUAUAGUGAUCUUAAUUAGAAAAAUAUUACAGCACCAGGGUCACACAAAGGGAGUGAAGCAUUGUUUCACUUUAUGGCAGAAAGAUUGAUAGAUUCUGCCUAGGAUUUGUGGCAAAAGCCUAUUGUAAAUUGUCAUAAACAACACAUAAAAAUUACAGCCAGAAACAAUUUUUUGUGCAACUGGUCUGCACAAUCAGGAAUUAUUUUUUUCCUUUUAGGAUAUUUCAUAUAAUCUUAUCUAAGGAAUCUCCAUAUUUUCCAAACAAUCUCUGUUGAAACAUAAACCAACUAUCAAUUGAAUAUAGGACUUUAAAUGAGUCUGUGAGGGUAGGUUAUCUUCAGUGCACAUAAUGAGAAAAAUAGAAUAGUUAAAGUUGACAUCAACCUAUUUUAAUCAUGUCUGUGCUUCUCAGAUGCUGAAACAUGAAAUCUGGGACCAGCAGCACCUAGAAUGUGUCCCCUCAAUAGGUUGGAAGCAUACUCAGAGACUCCAUUCAAGUGUAAAGGAACAUUAUAGCAUGGCAUGAUAACUGAUAGAAGAUUACAGACUGAUUAAAUUACUGCAAGCCAAAAGCAGCGAAAAUAGUGCAAGAAAUUAAUUUACAGAAAAAUCAGUCUUGAAAUGUUCUCAAGCAACACUAAUUUAAGCUUUUCAUUGCUUUGAAGUAAAGGUGUUACGUGAAACUCAGAACACAUUUCAAAGGCCUUCAAAACCCUAUAGAGGCUAAAAUGACUUUCAAAUCACAGCCCUUCCCACCUAUUUUUUUUUUUGGUAUCACUAAGGACCAUGGUGGAAAGGUGGAGAUCUGCAUCAGAAUAAAGUAUGUGUACUUCCUGUGUCUGGGAAGGGGAAAAAAUCUCUUAGAAAUCUCUGAGCCCUAGACCUAGGUAUGUCAAGGAGUACUGUUGUAUAUUAAAUUUGACUGCCACAUAAGCAAACAAAUGCCAGCAAAUAGCUCCACGACAGGAAAAUUAAGCAAAUUCAUUAUUUUUGUUGGCUUCAAACCUUUUGCUUUCUCAAGGCUGCGAUUUGCAUUACUUCAACCAUGACAUACCCAGGCCAGAUGCUUGUUUCAUUCAUUAUACCUCCACGUGACAUGCUGCAGCAUGUCACACUCACUGUCCUAGUCUCUCUACUUUGUUCCUAAGAAAAAAGCAUCAUGAAUGGGAGAUAAUUUAGAUGAUCAUGUUCUGCGGUAGUGGGUACCUUAGAUGUACUAUAGAUGGAGUAUAAUCGGUACAAAUUUAGGUGCCUACAUUUCAACGUGUAAAUUCGUGUGGCUAAUUGUUACCAGCUACUUCAAUAGAAAGGGUACGGAUUCUUUCACAAGGCAGGCAUGGUUUAUUCUGCCCUAAUAAGUUCCCUGCCUGCUUUCAACAGCUGCAGACUGACUCCCACCUUGAAGCUUAUUCCUUGCCUCCAAGACGCUUUUUAUUUUUCAAGUCUUCUAUAGGUUAAAUGUGCACCAUGUGGAAAGGUUCUGUCCUUGAAUUUGUUAAAUUUGAUGUUAACACGUUCCCAUGCUUGCUUUCUCUUUGUUAUUAUUUUAAUACCUGAAACACAGAAGCUCACAAAACAGGCUAUUGCAAUGAUUCUGUAUCAAUAUGUUUCCAGAGAAAAAGGACACCUUUGAAUGUCAGAACAGAAAUUGAGAUAGUAGAAUAUAUUUUAAUGUAAAUCUGAGGAUUAGUUCUAAUAUCAGGAGUUAAAUAUGUUUCUUAAGAAACAGCUUUACAACAUCAUUAACAGUUAAUUGUAUGGUGUUUAUAUUCUUACUCUUUUAAAGCAAAUUGAUUUCUUUAUUUUUUUCUUUUUUUUAAGUUUCAAUGAAGCAGCUGUCUAAAAAGAAGAUUUACAUUUUUCUUGAAAAUUAAUCCUGGGCAUAGCAAAUAUUAGAAACAUGAUAAAAAAAUAAAAUUGCAUCCCUUCUUUUUCUUUUUUCCACCAUGAAAUUAUACAAAUGACAUUACAACAUUUCAGAGUGUUUUUUAUAAAUAAUUAUCACUUUAUAUUGAAUAUUUGCACAUUAAUAACUUGGGGAUUUUGUCAUUUUCAGUGUAUUCUUCUUUCAUGAACACUGUGUGAUUAUUCAUAAUGAGCAGCCAGUGUCUUUGAAAGUACUGUAGACUGUGCAAGUAAGAUAAAAAAAAAUGUUUUUGUAGUGACUGCAAAUGAAAGACCUCAUUAAUCAACUAGAUUCCAUUUAAACAUUAGCAUUAGAAACGUCAGUAUGUCAUCAUUAAUAUGUUUAACCCCUUAAAGCUGUGCCCCUCAAAGUCACCACUUGGAACCCGUGUGACAGCAUUGCACAGAGAAUAUGUACCCUGAGUUAACGAAAUGUGUGCUUCAGACCAAGAGCAAAGCUGAAGUCUCCUCCUGGAUGCAUUCUCAGACCUCUUGCUGAGUUUACUAAAAGCACCAUUUGAGCACUGAUGGGAGAAACAGCUCUUUCCAAAGCAUUUGGAUAUGUUAAGAAACUGCUGAUUCCUCAGUAAAGGGUAUUUAUGAAGCUAAUGUUGAUGGAUUUUUGUAUUAUAAAGUUAGCCCAGUAAUGCUGACUUCAUUUGCCUUUCUCCAUGUGCGUGUGUGUUUUAGCAUCCCAUUUUAUAACUGUUUGAAGAAAUAUUUGGAGUGUUAUAAAUAUGUGCCAUUUUCUCUGAGGAACCUAUGGACGUAUCUGCUGCAGUCCAUGGUUAAAGCUAAGAUGCAUUUUUCAUUUCUUAGCCAUUCAGCUCCUGUUAAUUUUUAAAUGUGUAUUUUGGGACCAUAUUCUGGAAACACCAUAAGCGAAAGGGAAAACAGCCUGAAACUGUAUCUUUCAACUCAGUUUAAUCAGGAGAUUUGAGCAUAAAGCACAAAGUUUCUUACUUGCAAAUUACAAGGUGUCAGCAGAGACCCUGCUUGCUUUCUCUACUUGUUUUCUUUUGUAAAAGAAAGUAAGUCUGCUGGAGGCAUAAAAAACCCACUAAAAACUUCUAUAUUUUUCUCAGUUUGGUGUGUUGCAUCUGUAUGUGGUAUACUCAUCUGCUUUUUGCUGAACACUGCCGAGCCCCACUGGAUUCAGGGUUGGAUUUUGCCAGCCAUCACAUCUCUGCAAGAGACAGUUACUUCAGAGGACCAAGGACUCAGAGGUCAUUGAUCUCACAACUUGGUUUGUGCUUGCUUAGAACUCUAAGGAAACGAACUGAGACCUGAAACAGUGUCAGGCCAAAAGAAUACUUGCUGCUGGUUAGGUAGCCAGUGCCAAUGGCAUGGUACUGGGCUAGACUCAGAACCAAAUGAGCAAAGGUGUGGCUGUCCUAAAGCUUUGAGUACUUCUGAGGACUGAAAAAUAAUGUGAUCAUUGUGUGGUAGUAAAGGGCAUGCAAAAAAAAAAAAUUUGGAUUCCUGUGUAAUCCCGAGUGCUGUUUGUAAGAUUUAGAUUCUCUUAAAAUCUUGAUUUACACUAACUUCAGCUGGACUCCACAGCUGAGAAGCUGCUGGGCAGAGAAGUCCAUGGCCCAAGGCAAACCUCAAACCAUGCCUCUUGCACUGAAAUGUGUGGGAGCUGGGACAAAUACUGUCCUCACAUCCUCCUUCUGGGAGCACACCUACCUGCAUCCCCUCUGCAAUGUCUUUUCCUCCUCCUCAUUAGCUUCCUAUGUUAGGAGACAACAGAAAUGUCCAUGCGGACAGGCAACUCAUGCUUGAUUUAUAGUCACUGAUGCUGACACAAGUAAUAAAUUCAAAGGAAGAUGAAAAUUGCCUAGCAAGAACGAUUCAAAUAACACCUGCCUUCCCGGGCAAAGGAGCACUUACUUGCUUCUGCUCCACUGACAACAUACUCACUGACCUUUACAAGAAUGGUGAAAACUGUGCACAUGCCAAUAUUUAAGAAAUUAAUUCCUUUUUGUAACUUGUCUUUAAACACAUAUAAAGGAAAGAGCAGGAUCUGUGCUCUGGCACAUAUUAUGUGAGGAAAAUAUGAAGAUUAACUCUCCUACCAACAAAGAGUAGACAUCUAUUGACUUAACAAAAAUUUAAAGAUGUAUUAGAUUGAUGUAGAAGAUGUAUCAGCUCUGAAAUGUUGAUGAAUAUUUUGGAACGAUGUGUUGAAGAAGUGAUUUUUGUAACAGCCAGUGCUCUCUGAAAAAUGCCAACAGAAGUUUCUGUCCACGUGUUAAGUGCAAGUUGCCAUUCUCCCAAGUGAAUGAAAUUAAGAUUUGAAAUUGAAGAGCAAUUUGCAUCUUAAAACCACUAUACCUCAUUAAGCAGUUGAUAGUAGCAUUCUGCCUAUUUGCACGCCCUCUGGGUUUCAAGACAGGAAAUAAUUGUUGGAAACACAGUAUGUCUUUCUGCAUCUUUAUAGCUGGAAAUACUACUAUAUAAAAAUAGGCAAAUACUCUUACACCCAAAGGCUUGCAGAGACAGUGAUUUCUCCAUGCCAGAGAUUCAAAACUCAAGUUGAGGAGGCCUUGAGCAACCUUCCUUCACUGGACCCCCUUGGAGUGGCAGGCUGGACCAGAAGACCUCUGGAGUUCCCUUCCCACUACUUUGUUCUGAUUUAGGACAAAACAGCUACAGCCAUGUACAAGCAUUUAAGCAAUCAUCAUCAGUGCCUGAAUCAGUAACAUGAUUCCAAGUCUGCGAACAGUAGCUAUGAGGGAGCUGUAGAAAAAUAAGCAGCGCAAAUCUUACAGUAUAUAUCAACAGCACUUCUUUGUCAUUCUCCUCCUGGAGUUUCCCUCAGGUGCCACCCAUCCUAGGGGUGCCACCCACCCAGGUGUCCUGCUUGGACAUGAGGGUGAAGGAGGCAUGCAAUCAUCAUGAAGACAGUGAACCUGGAUGAAUCUGGUUUUCUCCAGAUAGCCAGCAGAAACAGGACACAAGUGAAAGCUGUUUCACACAUACUUUGCCUAAGAUAGUGCAAAGUUGGUCACGUUAUGAAGUAUUCUUGAAGAAGGUGGUAUUCAUUGAUGCAAAAAUUUCUUCAGCCCAUCACUAAGCUUGUGGCUGGACUCAAGGUAUCUAAUAUCUGCUUUGUUAUUAACAUUUAUAAAUAAAAGAAAUUGGUGGAAUUACCUUAAAGGAAAACUUUACUCCCAAUUCACAUAAGGUAAAUAAAACAGGAAAUAAGUCUCUUCUUUUUGCCUCCCUACACCUGCCUGAUUUGAACCCCAGCAUGUUCUCAUUGCCAAUUUUUGUAUCCCCAUGUCCAGCAGCACCCUUCUUUUCCCAGCUUCCUGACCUCAUGUCUCUGUUCUCUGCCAUUGAUUAAAGUCCAGUUUCAGUUUCUUAUUUCUACGUUAUCUUGUAGGAGCUGAAGCAUGCACACAGGAUUCAGAUUUAACACUAUCUUCAUAGCCACAUGGCCUGCUCUGGGACAAUGGUAGGAAUGUUAUUUUGAAAUUUGAGCACCCUCAGAAGAUGGCUUAUUAGCCCUUCCUUCCACAUCUGAGGAAAAGGAUAGAUUCUGCCUGAUGCAACCCUCCUUCUCAGUUGCGCCAGGGCAAAUAUCUGCUUCCAGAGGUACUACCCAAACUGUCACACUGAGGUCUGCAAUAGUGACCUGUGUUGCAUGCAAAGACUUUUCUAUUACAAGAUCAUCUCUCACUUUUGAAAACAUUGAUUUUUAGAAAGACAAAUGUUGUUUACUGGCAGGUGCUCACUUCCAGUCUGUCUACCAAACCAAAAAUCAAAGAGAGCAAGACAGUUUGUAUUUUCUCUUUUACUGACAUGGAGGUAAGGGAAGAUCCAUCCUGCUUGCAUGUGUGAUUGCCUGAUCUCUAACCAGUUCCCUCACCUGCAGCCCACUCUGACACAUCGAUCUUUGUGCAUUCAAAAUAUUGGUAAAAUAGAUUCCAGUACCAUCACCAGUUUUUCCACCAUUCUGAAAAGAUGUACAGCCUCCAAUGUGGCUAAUUGAAGGCAUUGCAUUGAGCAUGCAGAGUCCUAAGAGAACCUUGCACCAUACCCAUACACUGCCCAAUGCUGGUCUUGUAAAUUUUGUGCAUUAACUCUUUUCCCAUCAGUAAAACAUCUUCUGGUGUGUGUCUCAAUGACGGUUGUCUGGUUUUGUUAAUUUUAUGGUACCUGUUUAUUUUAUGGUAGCUUGCAAGGCUGUUUGGUUUUCACUGCUGUUAUAUUACAUUCUCUUGUGCAAGGUAUAAAUUUACUGUUUUGUGGUUUGGUUUUUUUUUGUAAUGUGCAAGUGUUCACACAGCAGCCUUGAGAAUAGCAUGCUGUGAUCAUUUUUCCUUACCAAUGAAGGGAAUAGCUGACUUUUCCUAUUCAUUUUCCAAAUGUCAAUUCACAAAUCCAGCUGGUUUGUAACCUCUAAAACUGUCCUGGGUAGGUUCUGCUGUUUACCUACUUCCAUAAGUAAACUUCUAAACUCUUUUUUUGUUGUUGUUGUUUCUAACAUUUUCAAUACUUUUUUCCUUGAAAGCUUCAAAGACAACUCAGGAUAAUUAGUCUAAAUGCUGAAAUCUCAUUUUUUCUUGCAAGUUGUCUUGAUAAUCAAGACUAUGGGGAUGAAAUGUCAGCUAUUUAUAGACUUUUUUUUUUUUUUCAAAACAAUGAAGUAUGAAAACAUCUAUUUUUAUCCUUUAAAAAUAAUUAUCAUAGAAUCAUACAAUGGUUUGGGUUGGAAGGGACCUUAAAGAUUGCCUAGUUCCAACCCAGCUGCCAGGAGGAGGGACAUCUUCCAUUAGACCAGGUUGCUCAAAGCCACAUCCAACCUGGCCCUCAACACUUCCAGGGAUUGGGGUAUCCCCAGUUUCUCUGGGCAACCUGUGCCAGUGCCUCACCACCCCCAUAGUGAAGAAUUUCUUCCUAAUAGCUGAUCUAAAUCUACCUUCUUUCCGUUUAAAGCUAUUACCCCUUGUCCUAUCACUACAUGCCCUUGUAAAAAGUCCCUCACCAGCUUUCCUGUAGGCCUCCUCUGGGUACUGGAAGGCUACUGUAAGGCAUCCAUGCAGCCUUCUCUUCUCCAGGCUGAACAGCCCCAACUCUCUCAGCCUGUCUUCACAGAAGAGUGCUCCAGCCCUCUGAGCAUCUUUGUGGCCCUCCUCUGGACUUGUUCCAAAAGGUCCAAGUCCUUCUUAUGCUGAGGGACACAGAGAUGAGUACUCCAGAUGGGGUCUCAUGAGAGCAGAGUAGAAGGGGAGCAUCACCUCCUGUGACCUGCUGGUCGUGCUUCUUUAGGUGCACCCCAGGAUAUGGUUGGCUUUCUGGGCUGCAAGGGCACAUUGCCAGGCCAUGUUGAGCUUCUCAUCCAUCAACACCCACAAGGCCUUCUCAGGGCUGCUCUCCAUCCAUUCUCUUCCCAGCCUGUACUGAUUGAUACUUGGAGUUCCCCUGAGCCAGGUGCAGGACCUUACACUUGUCCUAUACUUAAAAAUAGUCUUUUACUAUACACUCCUAAAAUUCUUAUGCAAUGUACUCCUCACUGUCUUUUAUACCACACAUGUUCAGUUUAGAAGACUGAACACCAAGCAUCUUAAGACCUAACAUCUUAAAAUGGAUCUGGACCUUUUUCUGCUGCUUAAAAUUUUAUGCCGAGCAAAUAGUGUGCUCUGGGAAUGCUUGCCAGCACCUUUGCUAACAAUGCAGAAGACAGAAGAGGAUUUAGGUCAUCCCUCCAAAGCUCUGCACUAGCUCUGCAGUAGCAGUCUUGAUAAAAAUGUUUAAAAUAUAUGUAGUAAAGCAACUUGAAAUGCUGACCUUAAAGACUGCCUGACCAUUAUUUUUGAAGGAGUUAUAUGCUGCCUUGCUAAUUUAGCAAUGCACGUCAGCAUGAAACUAAUGAAAAUAACUAUUUAAAUUGUUUUACUUCACCGAGGAUUUCAAAACAUAUAGAAUAUAUGUGCUUUAAAAUUAAUUUUUCUUUUGUGACUACAGUCCUUUAAAACAUUGAAUCUUUAUUGGACAGUUGUUUCAUUUAUGACAAUGGUCUUAUCUUUAAGUGAACAAUUUACAUGUCAGAAUGAUAUUUUCUUCAUGGACAUAUAGCCAGAUUUAUAUCAAAAUCCACUUUAAAAUCUGUUCUUCCCUCACUUUAUUUCUGCAUGUUUAUUUUAUGUGUAAGAUAUUCUGAGUGGCCCGAGAUGAUAAUGUAGCAGAAUUGUUCAUUAUCCUGGCCAUUUUAGAUCUAAAUGCACACUAAUUUUUCAGAGCUUUUAGUUAUUUGUCAUUAAAUGUCUGUGAAAGUUUUACUUGGGUAGUGGGGCAAAUAUGUUUAUAAAAGAAAAGAAACACAUGCAUUUCAACAAUAUAUUUGACUAUGCUGGUAUUUAUUUCAAGUGUAUAAUUUUCCCAAAUUGAUGACCACAGAUCUGUGUAUACAUUUCAUCCUGGUGAAAGCGUGCAAUAUUUUCCACACAGAAAAUUCCUCCCAUAUUUUGUUUCCUCCUGCAGCUCAUGUUGAAAGAUUGUUUUUUUAAACUCAAGGCUCAAGACCAUGUUUAUUUCCUUAUUUGUUUAUUUGUUUAAAAGAAGAGUUACAUUUCUAUAAUUAAGUGUACUGCCACAUUUGAAUGUGAAUGGAAAAAUAAGCACCUAGUUAACUUCAGUGUUUGAAAGGAGUUCUCCUGAAAAGGCGGAUUCUUCUGUUGGAAUUUUGUAUUUCCUUACCUGCAGCACGGCCAGACUUUAAAGGCCUGAAAGCAACUCCCACUGAGUUUUCUGAAAGUCCUUAAUCAAGUAUCCAAGAAAGAAAUUUGACCCUAAACAGGGAUUUCUAGGGUAAGUGGGGGUUGUCUGGGGAGUCUGCAUCUGAAGGGAGAAAACUAUAUUCUUUCCUCUUGAAAGGCAGUUGGUGAAAGAAACAUAAGGAAUGGCUUGGAAAAAGGAAAACAAAAAGUUUCUAAACUGCAGGUAGAAACAAUAUGUCUUUUGAUAAAGCUAAUGUUGCUUUGUGUUAAAAGCAGAGUUCAGAUUGCCGGGAGUCACACGCUUUGUGUGAUGAUUUUCUACCUCACACCAUCAAAGACUCACAAGCACCGUGUUGAAUAAACUACCACUCAAAAAGAAAACCAGAGGAAAAAAAUAAUCCCUGAAGGUAAGAAAUGAUGAACAGGUAUUGCACUGUCUUUUACAGAGAGAGAGAUGCAGAUCCUCAGAGCGAGGUGAUGGGGGCAGAGACAUGGUGGGCUGGGGUGUUUCAGCCACUGCAGUGCCUUGCCUCAGCACAGAAACCCAGCACACAUCUGAAACACUGGUCUGAUGGUCAAGCAAAAAUCCCCCAAAACAUCAUUACCCCAGAGAAAAGUAGAAGUGUUUGAAUUUGGAUGUUUCUGCAGGACAAGGAGGGACCAUACCCAGUCCCAGCCCAGAGCAGCCUCUGUGGUGGCUGUCCUGCCCCAGGGGGCUGCGUCCCCAAACCAGGCAGGAGCCUGAGUCCUAUCCCCAACCUCUGGGCAGGACAGCUUUGGGGGUGACACCUUGCCCUGGUGGGUGCCUUCCCUACAGUGUGGAGAUGACCAUCGCUGAUGGGAGAGGAACGACAUCCUGAAGGCAGCAGGAGG